GUGCCAGCAGCCGCGGUAAAACGUAGGACGCAAACGUUAUCCGGAAUUACUGGGCGUAAAGGGCGCGCAGGCGGUUGGGUAAGUGAGGCAUGAAAGCCCCAUGGCUAAACCUGGGGAGGUUGUCUGAUACUGCCCGACUAGAGUACGAUAGAGGGGUGUAGAAUUCCGCGUGUAGUGGUGAAAUGCGUAGAGAUGCGGAGGAAUACCAGAGGCGAAGGCGGCACCCUGGAUCGUAACUGACGCUGAGGCGCGAAAGCAUGGGUAGCGAACGGGAUUAGAUACCCGCGUAGUCC
rnacentral:rRNA from 1 species